ACAAAUUAGAGUGCUUAAAGCAGGCUAAAACUUCGCCUGAAUACUGUGUGCAUGGAAUAAUGGAAUAGGACCUCGGUUCUAUUUUGUUGGUUUUCGGAACCCCGAGGUAAUGAUUAAUAGGAACGGAUGGGGGCAUUCGUAUUGCGACGUUAGAGGUGAAAUUCUUGGAUCGUCGCAAGACGGACAGAAGCGAAAGCAUUUGCCAAAAACGCUUUCAUUGAUCAAGAACGAAAGUUAGAGGUUCGAAGGCGAUCAGAUACCGCCCUAGUUCUAACCAUAAACGAUGCCAGCUAGCGAUCCGCCGACGUUCCUCCGAUGACUCGGCGGGCAGCUUCCGGGAAACCAAAGCUUUUGGGUUCCGGGGGAAGUAUGGUUGCAAAGCUGAAACUUAAAGGAAUUGACGGAAGGGCACCACCAGGAGUGGAGCCUGCGGCUUAAUUUGACUCAACACGGGAAACCUCACCAGGCCCGGACACCGGAAGGAUUGACAGAUUGAGAGCUCUUUCUUGAUUCGGUGGGUGGUGGUGCAUGGCCGUUCUUAGUUGGUGGA
rnacentral:rRNA from 1 species